GGGCGUAUGGUUUAGUGGUAUAAUACUCCCUGAGCAUUCUAUAACUGGGAGGGGUCCCCGGUUCGAUUCCGGGUUCGUCCA
rnacentral:tRNA from 1 species